GAUCAUGGCUCAGGAUGAACGCUAGCUACAGGCUUAACACAUGCAAGUCGAGGGGAAACGACAUCGAAAGCUUGCUUUUGAGUGGGCGUCGACCGGCGCACGGGUGAGUAACGCGUAUCCAACCUGCCCACCACUUGGGGAUAACCUUGCGAAAGUAAGACUAAUACCCAAUGAUAUCUCUAGAAGGCAUCUGAAAGAGAUUAAAGAUUUAUCGGUGAUGGAUGGGGAUGCGUCUGAUUAGCUUGUUGGCGGGGUAACGGCCCACCAAGGCGACGAUCAGUAGGGGUUCUGAGAGGAAGGUCCCCCACAUUGGAACUGAGACACGGUCCAAACUCCUACGGGAGGCAGCAGUGAGGAAUAUUGGUCAAUGGGCGAGAGCCUGAACCAGCCAAGUAGCGUGCAGGAUGACGGCCCUAUGGGUUGUAAACUGCUUUUUAUAAGGGAAUAAAGUGGGUCUCGUGAGACUUUUUGCAUGUACCUUAUGAAUAAGGACCGGCUAAUUCCGUG
rnacentral:rRNA from 1 species